UCUCUGUACCAAGUCAAUCACCAAAUCAACAUAACAGAAGUGUUUUUCCUGCCUCAUGAAGGAGAACUUGCAAAUUUCUAACUAAGCUAAGCACAAGGAGUCAAUACUGAGUUUGAAGUGAUUGAAGAAUUAGCCUUUAUGAAUAGCCUGCAUGGAAUAACCACAGAUUAGAUGUUUGGUUGCCUGCUUUACGGCAGAGGCAUCUCGUCAAAGAUCCCGAGGAAGCAAAACAUGGGACGAAGAAAUAUUAGCUCCUUCACUGUGUUCCUGGA